rnacentral:rRNA from 1 species
GACGAACGCUGGCGGCGUGCUUAACACAUGCAAGUCGAACGGAAAGGCCCUGCUUUUGUGGGGUGCUCGAGUGGCGAACGGGUGAGUAACACGUGAGUAACCUGCCCUUGACUUUGGGAUAACUUCAGGAAACUGGGGCUAAUACCGGAUAGGAGCUCCUGCUGCAUGGUGGGGGUUGGAAAGUUUCGGCGGUUGGGGAUGGACUCGCGGCUUAUCAGCUUGUUGGUGGGGUAGUGGCUUACCAAGGCUUUGACGGGUAGCCGGCCUGAGAGGGUGACCGGCCACAUUGGGACUGAGAGACGGCCCAGACGCCUACGGGAGGCAGCAGUGGGGAAUAUUGCACAAUGGGCGGAAGCCUGAGGCAGCAACGCCGCGUGCGGGAUGGCGGCCUUCGGGUUGUAAACCGCUUUCGACUGUGACGAAGCGUGAGUGACGGUAAUGGGUAAAGAAGCACCGGCUAACUACGUG